rnacentral:rRNA from 1 species
AACAAACGCUGGCGGCGUGUCUUAAGCAUGCAAGUUGAGCGGCAAGGAGGAGAGAUCCUCCCUAGAGCGGCGGACUGGUGAGUAACGCGUGGGUAAUCUAUCGUAGGCAUGGGGAUAGUCACUAGAAAUAGUGGGUAAUACCGAAUACGUUCCAUGAGGGGAGUACUUAUGGAAGAAAGGGUGCUACGGCACUGGCCUUAGGUGAGCUCGCGUCCCAUUAGCUAGUUGGUGAGGUAAAGGCCCACCAAGGCGAUGAUGGGUAGCCGGCCUGAGAGGGUGUACGGCCACACUGGGACUGAGAUACGGCCCAGACUCCUACGGGAGGCAGCAGCUAAGAAUAUUCCGCAAUGGACGAAAGUCUGACGGAGCGACGCCGCGUGGAUGAAGAAGGCCGAAAGGUUGUAAAGUCUUUUGCUAGGGAGAAUAAGUGAGGAGGGAAUGCCUCAUGAUGACAAGGACUAGCGAAUAAGCCCGGCCAACUACGUGCCAGC